GCGGCGGUGUCCAAACUGGUAAAGGAGGGGCACUCAAAAUGCCCUGCCCAUCGGGCUUGUGGGUUCGAGUCCCACCCGCCGCA
rnacentral:tRNA from 1 species